CUGCUAUCAGAAUGGGGCUAAGCCAUGCGAGUCGAACGCUCUUCAACCAUGUAGAGGGCGUGGCAGACGGCUCAGUAACACGUAGCAAACCUGCCCUAUAGAUGUGGAUAACCCCGGGAAACUGGGACUAACCUACGAUAGGCCAGAACUUCUGGAAGGGGUCUUGGUCAAAAAAGGAGGCAAGCAUGUUUGUCUACCUGCUAUAGGAUGGUGCUGCGGCCGAUCAGGUUGUUGGUGGGGUAAUGGCCCACCAAGCCGAUAACCGGUACGGGCUUUGAGAGAAGGAGCCCGGAGAUGGACACUGAGACAAGGGUCCAGGCCCUACGGGGCGCAGCAGGCGCGAAAACUUCGCAAUGUGCGAAAGCACGACGAGGCUACUCUGAGUGCUAUCCGCUGAGGAUAGCUUUUCUUAGGUAUAAAUAGCCUAAGGAAUAAGGGGAGGGCAAGUCUGGUGUCAGCCGCCGCGGUAAUACCAGCUCCCUGAGUGGUCAGGACAUUUAUUGGGCCUAAAGCAUCCGUAGCCUGCCUUGUAGGUCUCCCGUUAAAUUCAACGGCUCAACCGUUGAGCUGCCGGAGAUACCGCAAGGCUAGGAGGCGGGAGAGGCGGACGGUACUCCGUGGGUAGGGGCAAAAUCCACUGAUCCACGGAAGACCACCAGUGGCGAAGGCGGUCCGCCAGAACGCGCUCGACGGUGAGGGAUGAAAGCUGGGGGAGCGAACCGGAUUAGAUACCCGGGUAGUCCCAGCUGUAAACGAUGCGAGCUAAGUGAUGGAGUGACUACGGGUUACUCCAGUGCUGCAGGAAGCCGUUAAGCUCGCCGCCUGGGGAGUACGGUCGCAAGACUGAACUUAAAGGAUUGGCGGGGGAGCACACCAGGGUGAAGCCUGCGGUUCAAA
rnacentral:rRNA from 1 species